GGAACUUGGCCCCUGGAUGCCUGGGAAGCGAGUGGCGGCGGCAGCGUGCAGGGUGGGUGGUCGCUCUGUCUUGAGCCAGACACUGUGUCCUGGAGGGAGAAGAUCCCGUCCUGGUGGGGGGUCUUUUCUGCGUCUGGGCAGAGCCUGGCGACUGCAGCUGGUCUUGCCAAGACCUGGGAGCAGCCGGGCCCGUGUGGCAAGCUUCUAGAGGCCAUGUGCAUCCCUUGGCUUGUGGGCCCCUUCCAGCAAUGGGGAUAAAAGGCUGACUGGCUGGCUGGACGGAUGGACGGACAUCCAGAAAGUCUUUCGUCUCCUCGAAGUCUCGUCUCCAAGGCUGAAACAAUUGCCAAGCUUCUCUCAUCCCCGCCUCUACAGAUGUCAUUUUAUUCUACCUUGUCAGCAUCGGGAGGCUUCUCGCUGCUUUGUGGGCGAGAGCCCAUUCUCUUUCCAAACCUCCUGAAGAAGCAGUCCUCUUCAGUUAUGGGAAAAUAACUACAUUGUUUAAUCACCAGUGAUGUCAGUCAAGGAACCUUAAAGAGAUUAGUUCUGCUUUUAUUUGUUGAGACAAUGGAGAGCAUAAAAUAUUUAACAGCAUCAUAAUGUGGAACAGAUGGGAAAGAUACUGCCUUUCAGGGCCUCCCUAUGUCUCCCACCUUCCACCAACAGCCAAAACCAGGAGGCCAUUUAGGACAAUUUAUGGGCUGGAAGGCAGCCAAGGGACUGCUUGCCCAGGGGCCUCUGGUACCCGCCCAGCCCUGAUAAGGCCUACAGGGAUAUUCACUGAAGAGGAUCGAGUUACAAUCCUCUGAGCACUGGAAAUGCACAGUGCAUCUGGAUGCGACAUUGGGUUCAAGUCCUUGCUAGCUUUGUGUUAGUUAUCAAAGGGUGUUUUUCCACUAGUGCUGACUAUGUCAGGGAAUUUCCACCCAAAAAACCCAAAAGCUUGAAAAAUCACCAAGGAGUAAGUUUUAAUUUUGUUAUGUGCUGUGCAACCUUGGGCAAAUUUGUAACCUCUCUGAACUUGUGUCUUCUGUCACAAAAAACGAGAGAGGAGCUAGCUGCAAAAGCCAUUGUAGAGCUUGAGUGAAAUAAUGUUUGUAAAAGCUUGGUGAUGGGCACGUAGUAGGUGCUCAAAUUGAUCUCAGGCCAAGUGGAUGAGGGACCAGGUUUAGAACAAUGAGUCCACUGAGAAAUAUGUCACAUGCACAUGGUCUGUGGAUCUGCAUUCCAGACAGACUUUUAGAAGUUUUGAACUAAAGGAAUCUUUGGGACUAUUUAGACCAAAGGAUGCAAAGUGAAGUCUUGGGGCCACAUCCAGAUUAAAGACACACACACACACACACACACACACACAGUUUGCACAGGUAUUUUUUAAGUAUUCAGAUUAACUGCCACUUAAAAAUUGUAUUUCUUUUUAAACAUUAAAAUCUGAAAUCUCGAAUGAUCUCGAAACUGUCAGAUGCAGGGACCCAAAGCUCGCAUACCCACAUGACAACAACUGGACAGCGUCCCCAGAACCUUCCUUCACGAUAUCUUUUACACUUUGUUUCAUCUCUCACUUGGGCUUCCUGUCUGGAUUCUGCAUGCAUGUGAGUUUAUGAGGCCAGAUUGAGGGCAAUCCCUUCACUUUUACAGGUAAAGAAACUAAGGCUUAAGAAAACAAUGCAAAUGUGAGUCCCCCCAUCCCCUCCCAUAACCAACCCCCUUCACCCCCCCAUGAGAUCUUGGAGGUCUUUGUUUAAUUACACCCUCAGAGCCCUUCUUAACACAGUGCUUUGGGCAGUCAUUCAAGUAACCUAUCAGAUACCUCUGGGCUAAGAGAUUUUGUCCAAGAUCCUCCAGUUCUGCCCUAUUAACCUUAAGGUCUUGUUCUUUCUUCUACACCCAAUAAAUAGUCUUCGGGGUUAGACACAAUAAUACCUUUGACGUCUUUUGGAAGAACCAAAUAAUGUGUGUAAAGGUGUCAAGCAAAAUGUGACUAUUUCAUUUUAUUAAGCCUGGUAUGCAUGACCCAUCAAAUAAAGGCCUCCCUCCCUCCCUUCCCCAACUCCUGCGCCAAUUGGAGUUUUGACACGGGUUAAAAUAUAACUUGUGGGAGGUUUUCUAGCAACCUGACUACACGUUUUGUGUUUGGCCCCUUGAGCCCUUGGUCGGGGUUGGACAUACCUUUCAGCAAAAUCAUGAUUGUAAGAUGUUUCUUUAAUUAAAUGCAAUCUCUUUC